CUUAAUUUGAUCAUUUUCCUCUUUCCUUUGGUAAUCUCCUUCCUGUAUUACAAGAUAUAUAAUGCUUCCUUCACACUUCAAAUGAAAGUUGAAAUGAUUUUUUCAUUUCAACUUUGUUGUAUGUUGUAGACGCAAGGUCAAAAAUUUACAUCAGGUAUCUGAAUGUGUAGCAUAUACAACUGAGUGUUGAAAGAAGACAAAAUCGUUUUCAUCACGAAGAAUAUGUGCUCAGUAAGAAUCAGAAUGUUCAAUUGUGUGAAGGUGGGAGAUGGGAAGAUUGGUAUUAUGGCCUGGAUCCAGAAAUCAGUCUUCCACUAUAGGAAAUGGGAAUUUAAAGAUGAUCAGAAGACAGUUGGGAGCAGAGUGAGAAUAAGAACCCUCAACUGCUGUCUCACCUUUCAGAUCACGAAGAAGUUUUUUACAAUGAGCAGAACACUCAACCUGAAAGCAGAAUGGAUUGAGUCACUGCAGCGUGGCAGUGGAAUGGUGUUUGAUGUUGGCAAAGGAAACAUGUACUUCUAGACUGGACAGUUUUCCCUUAGUUUACAGUUUCCAAAUAGAGACAUCACUUUGAAAUAACAUGGAGAACAUACAUGGAUGUACUGAACGAAGAAUAAAGUCUGUGUUGCAGUCCUGUCUCCAUUGACUUUUACAAAUAUGGCUUUGGAUGAAUCACCUAAGUUUUAUUUUUGAGAAUUUACGCUUACCAUGUAUAAAAUGAUAUUGCUAAUAUGUUUGCUGCCUACCCCAUUGGGUUUUGUGAGG
rnacentral:lncRNA from 1 species